CCCUACUCUGUAAGACGUCGUCGACAGCUAACGUCGACGCCUUGUGUCGCCGUGUUAAUUUUGGCACCCCUGAAGUCGUGUCGACAGCAGACGACGAGUACUUGGUACUCGCUAAGGCGUUUAUACAACCAUGUUGAGUCGACUCGACUUACUUUUGGGCGUUACGGUUUUUCUGCACGCCUUGUGACGCCUUGAUACAAACAACUGUGUUUUUAUUGAUUUGUAAGUUUUUGAAAAAAAAGAAAAUGGAGAAAAAAUUAAAAAUUACAAAUGGAACGCAAUUUGAUUGCUUAAUAAAAGAACUUGGGAAAAACCCAAGCCUUGCGAAAGGGUUCAGCAGAGGCUCUCUUCCAUCCAAUUUUAAAAAAAUUGGGAGGAUAUUACAACAAAACUGAAUGCUUUUGGUCCUCCGGCAAGAGACAGUGAUGGUUGGCAGAAGGUUUGGAGAGAUCUAAAAUUCAAAUGUAAAAAGAAAGUAGCCUUCAACAAGGCAGAAUGCAAUGCAACAGGUGGAGGCAGAUACAAGCAGCUGCAACUUUCCCCGUUGGAAGUGGCAGUUGCGAGUAUAAUGAAAUUUGAAAGCCAAUUAACUCCUGAUGGCUACGUGUGUGGCGCCAAAAAAGACCAGGGAUUUUCUGUGGUACAGGGUGAGGAGGAGAUUCGCUCAACACCAGCGUCUACACUUCGGUCUUAAAAUGUUGAAGCCGAAGAAUACUUUCCCACCGAUGAGACAUUCACCCACCAUCAGCCUGGUAACAUAAGUGCAUGUGAGGAAGAUUGGUUGGUCGAGCGCGUUGAAGAUGAAGAAAACAUCUGCCCGCCGGAGUCCUCUAGUGCUGUAACUCAAAAAAAGAAUCAAAGAAAGCAGAAAGAUAAUAGGAAAAGCAGAGAAAGUUUAUUUGAACUGCAUAACAAUAUGCAAGAAAAGGUGUUGAAUGAGAUUUCCCGCACCAUGAACUCAAUCAAAAACACAUUAAAAGCACCAAAAAAAUU